rnacentral:rRNA from 1 species
UCAAGUGAAUAAGAGCAUAAGGCGGAUGCCUUGGCACUGGGAGCCGACGAAGGACGUGACAAGCUGCGAUAAGCUACGGGGAGGAGCACAUAUCCGUCAAUCCGUAGAUUUCCGAAUGGGGGAACCCACCUAUAGUAAUGUGUAGGUAUUUUCGUAUGAAUCUAUAGUACGAAUAAAGGCAACCCGGGGAACUGAAACAUCUAAGUACCCGGAGGAAGAGAAAGAAAAAUCGAUUUCCUAAGUAGCGGCGAGCGAAAGGGAAAGAGGCCAAACCGUUAGUUUACUAACGGGGUUGUGGAUCACAGCCGUGGUAGAUACAAGUUUAGCAGAAGACAACUGGAAAGUUUGCGACACAGAGGGUAAUAUCCCCGUAUGCGAAAAAUGAGUAUCACCUAUGUGACACCAGAGUAGGACCGAACACGUGGAAUUCGGUUUGAAGCCGGGGGGCCCACCCCCCAAGCCUAAAUACUACCCAGUGACCGAUAGUGAAUAGUACCGUGAGGGAAAGGUGAAAAGGACCCCGGGAGGGGAGUGAAAUAGAACCUGAAACCUUAUGCUUACAAGCAGAGGGAGCGCAAGUGACCUCGUACUUUUUGUAGAACGGGCCAACGAGUUAUGGUAUGCAGCGAGGUUAAGGUGCUGGAGCACUGGAGCCGUAGAGAAAUCGAGUCUGAAAGGGCGAAAGUUGCAUGCUGUAGACCCGAAACCGGGUGAUCUAUCCAUGUCCAGGUUGAAGUAACUGUAAUAGGUUAUGGAGGACCGAACUUAUAUCUGUUGAAAAAGGUUAGGAUGAGGUGUGGAUAGGGGUGAAAUUCCAAUCGAACUCGGAUAUAGCUGGUUCUCCUCGAAAUAGCUUUAGGGCUAGCCUCGUAGUAAGAUACCUGGGGGUAGAGCACUGAAUGUUCUAGGGGCCUUCACCGGUUACCGAAAACUAUCAAACUCCGAAUACCAGAGUAUCAUCUACGGGAGUCAGACUAUGUGAGAUAAGUUUCAUAGUCGAAAGGGAAACAGCCCAGACCGUCAGCUAAGGUCCCAAAAUAUAGGUUAAGUGGAAAAGGAUGUGGGGUUGCACAGACAGCUAGGAUGUUGGCUUAGAAGCAGCCAUUCAUUCAAAGAGUGCGUAAUAGCUCACUAGUCGAGUGACCCUGCGCCGAAGAUAAACGGGGCUAAAACCUAUUACCGAAGCUACGGAUACUUAAUGUAUGGUAGAGGAGCGUCGUAUACGGGUUGAAGCAGUACUGUAAGGUAUUGUGGACUUUAUACGAGAGAGAAUGUUGGCAUGAGUAGCGCGAGGCAGGUGAGAAUCCUGCCCACCGAAAAUCUAAGGUUUCCUGAGGAAGGUUCGUCCACUCAGGGUUAGUCGGGGCCUAAGCCGAGGGCGAAAGCCAUAGGCGAUGGAUAACAGGUAGAAAUUCCUGUACCACCGAAGGUUGUUUGAAUGAUGUGGGGACACAGGAGGAUAAGCUGAGCACGCCGUUGGUAGAGCGUGUCCAAGCGUCAAGGGAGUAUGAAUAGGCAAAUCCGUUCAUAUAUAUUCUGAGGCGUGAUGGGGUGGUCAAUAGACCGGAAGCAGCUGAUUUCACACUGUCAAGAAAAGCCGCUAAUUAGACCUAAGGUGCCCGUACCGCAAACCGACACAGGUAGAUGAGGAGAGAAUCCUAAGGUGAGCGAGAGAACUAUUGUUAAGGAACUCGGCAAAAUAACCCCGUAACUUCGGGAGAAGGGGUGCCUGCUUCGGCAGGCCGCAGUGAAAAGGCCCAGGCAACUGUUUACCAAAAACACAGGUCUCUGCAAAAGCGAAAGCUGAAGUAUAGGGGCUGACGCCUGCCCGGUGCUGGAAGGUUAAGGGGACGUGUCAUCGCAAGAGAAGCACUGAACUUAAGCCCCAGUAAACGGCGGCCGUAACUAUAACGGUCCUAAGGUAGCGAAAUUCCUUGUCGGGUAAGUUCCGACCCGCACGAAAGGCGUAAUGAUUUG